CUGGGCUUGACAUCCGCUGACAGCUACGGAAACGUAGUUUUCCCCGCAAGGGGACAGCGAGACAGGUGCUGCAUGGCUGUCGUCAGCUCGUGUCGUGAGAUGUUGGGUUAAGUCCCGCAACGAGCGCAACCCUCAUCCUUAGUUGCCAUCAUUGAGUUGGGAACUCUAAGGAAACUGCCUCGGUUAACGGGGAGGAAGGUGGGGAUGACGUCAAGUCCUCAUGGCCUUUAUGUCCAGGGCUACACACGUGCUACAAUGGGCGGUACAAAGGGUUGCAAUCCCGCAAGGGGGAGCUAAUCUCAAAAAGCCGCUCUCAGUUCAGAUUGGAGUCUGCAACUCGACUCCAUGAAGGCGGAAUCGCUAGUAAUUGCGGAUCAGCAUGCCGCGGUGAAUACGUUCC
rnacentral:rRNA from 1 species